GCUUACGGCCAUACCACCCUGAGCACGCCCGAUCUCGUCCGAUCUCGGAAGCUAAGCAGGGUCGGGCCUGGUUAGUACUUGGAUGGGAGACCGCCUGGGAAUCUGAGUCGGAGAACU
rnacentral:rRNA from 1 species